GGACAGCCAAGGAGAUGGAAAGAUCAGAUGACACUGAAAAUAUUCACGGCCAGCCUGGCUGGGGCCUGGGCAGUCAGAACAAACACCCCUGGAGGCAUUGGGCCCCAGCAGGUACCCUCGGGAAUUGAGCCCACUCAGCCACUCUGCUCCUGCUCCUGCUCCUGCUCCUGCUCCCACUCCCCGAGCUUCCACGGACAAAUCCUGCCAGGAAAGGCUCUGCCCUGAGCACCUCCGCCCCCACCAACGCCACACAUCUUCAUGACGCCAGUCCUUCUAGGAGUUUCCGCAUGUGCACCCAGGUGUACCUACGUACCCAGACAUCUCUAUCACCUGUGUGCAUGCGUUAUUUUCUGAGCUAAAUUCCGGGACCAGCAUUGGAGGGCGGUGAGCAUAUGCAGGUGAAAGAAGGAGGCUGGACUAGGAAAUUUCCAUCAGUUCCCAAUGGAAUCCUCUCUUUGAGCCCCCUAGGACUGACCAUUCAGUGCUAUCACCUGGAGGAAGAGGUGUGGAGGGAAGACGCCACCUUCUCCAGAAACACAUGAGAUGGACAAGCUCUCUCAGUGCUGGGUAGUUUCACGCACAUUGCGUGUGUGCUGACUCAAUCUCCCAAAAGGUUUACCUCAAAGGAUGGAACCCAAAGACAGUUAUUUCCAUUUUCAUCUCCAUUUUACAGAUGGGGAAACUGACAGCCAUGGGGGAGACACUUUCCAAAGGUCAGGACAGUGCAGAGGGAGCAAAGCUGGCAUGGAGAGCCCUCAGGCUGCUGCGGAGGCCCCGCGUUCAGCAGUGACAUCACACUGCCUCUCUGACUUUUCUUUGCCAAAAGAAAGAAUCCCAGGACCCAGAGAGGACCUUGGAGGUCCUCUAAGCAAUUCCCUCCUCUCUGUUCUCAAACCACUUGGAGAUGGGGAAACUGAGGCAUGAGGGGCUAAGGGAAGUUUCUGAAUCUACAAGGCAAUCAGAGACCUUCUUUAACCAGGUACGCCUAGCUCCUGCCCUUUGAGUCAACAGCCUCUCUGAUACUCUUAGAAACACAGCAGGAAGAAAAGUUCACGCAAGAAAGCAAGCCCAUUUUUUCACUUUUUUGUGAGGAGAAGGAUUUCAUAUAGGACGUCGCACAGUGAGUGCAUCCACCAUAGACGCACAUGCAUGCCCUCUCCCCGUCCAGGGAAGCAAGCAGCCAGCUCUAAUGAUAAUACGUUUCCUGAGAACUUUCCACUCGCUCUGAAGCACUUCUAAUUGUGUCUGGAGCCUUUCCUUCCUACCCCACAGGAUGAGCCGGGACAUGCCGCUCGCGAGUUUUCUCUCUUACACUGGCCUGGAGCUGUGCCAGGAGCCUUGGAGCCGAGUUGAAGGGGAUUCCCAGCUCCCCACAUCCCACCAUCUCUCUGGGCUGCAUUUUAUCACCUGCAAAGUGGUGAGAGAGCAAUACCUGCUUCCACGUGCAGGUGUUCCUGGAAGGAUUCAGUGGAUGGCGACUGCGGGUCAUCCAGCUGCCACUGGUCCAUGAGUACCAGCUGUUCUCACGGUGGUUCUGAAAGGGGUAGACAGAGGCAAAUUGGUUCGUUUCUUCUUUGUUGUGAAGCCACGAUUAUCUUUUAAGGCACUCUGAGGAUUAACAGCAACUACCUUCUCUUUCCUGAAGCCAAAUACUUCUUCAAGAACACCUGGGGGUCUGGGCCAGCCUGUCCCCAGCUGGUUUCACAAGUCAGCAGGUGUCCCCAACCACCUCCUGGGGUUUCAUGAACUAAGCCCACUUUAACCUACAUACAUUGUGAUAUCCUAUUAUAUUACAUAAAAUGCUUGCAUUGCAUAAUAUUUCUAUGUUAUAAAAUAUACAUACCUAAUAUAGAAUAUGCUAGAUAUUAUAUAAUGUUUAUAAUAUAUGAUAUAACAUAAGGAGGUGAUGCCGUGAUCAGGUACAAC
rnacentral:lncRNA from 10 species